GAUGAACGCUGGCGGCGUGCCUAAUACAUGCAAGUCGAACGAGGUGCUUGAGUAGCAAUACGAGAGUAUCCUAGUGGCGAACGUGUGAGUAACGCGGUGGUAACCUACCCCAAAGGGUGGGAUAACAGGCCGAAAGGACUGCUAAUACCGCAUGUGGUUAUUGGAUUUCGAAAGAGAUAACGAAAGGAGCAAUUCGCUUUGGGAGGGACCUGCGUCCCAUCAGCUAGUUAGUGAGGUAAGGGCUCACCAAGGCUACGACGGGUAGGGGACCUGAGAGGGUGACCCCGCCCAAUGGAACUGAAACACGGUCCAUACACCUACGGGUGGCAGCAGUAGGGAAUAUUGCACAAUGGGCGAAAGCCUGAUGCAGCAACGCCGCGUGUGCGAUGAAGGCCUUCGGGUCGUAAAGCACUUUUCUGAGGGAUGAGCAAGGACAGUACCUCAGGAAUAAGUCUCGGCUAACUACGUGCCAGCAGCCGCGGUAACAC
rnacentral:rRNA from 1 species